rnacentral:rRNA from 1 species
GAUGAACGCUGGCGGCGUGCCUAAUACAUGCAAGUCGAGCGAACAGACGAGGAGCUUGCUCCUCUGACGUUAGCGGCGGACGGGUGAGUAACACGUGGAUAACCUACCUAUAAGACUGGGAUAACUUCGGGAAACCGGAGCUAAUACCGGAUAAUAUAUUGAACCGCAUGGUUCAAUAGUGAAAGACGGUUUUGCUGUCACUUAUAGAUGGAUCCGCGCCGCAUUAGCUAGUUGGUAAGGUAACGGCUUACCAAGGCAACGAUGCGUAGCCGACCUGAGAGGGUGAUCGGCCACACUGGAACUGAGACACGGUCCAGACUCCUACGGGAGGCAGCAGUAGGGAAUCUGCCGCAAUGGGCGAAAGCCUGACGGAGCAACGCCGCGGGAGUGAUGAAGGUCUUCGGAUCGUAAAACUCUGUUAUUAGGGAAGAACAAAUGUGUAAGUAACUAUGCACGUCUUGACGGUACCUAAGCAGAAAGCCACGGCUAACUACGU